GUGCUCGCUUUGGCAGCACAUAUACUAAAAUUGGAACGACACAGAGAUGAUACAUGGCCUCUGUGCAAGGAUGAUAUGCAAAUUUGUGAAUUUAUGAGUAAACAA